GAUAGGCUGGAAGUGCAGGUGGCCAGCCCUGUACAUGGCUGAAGGGGUGGAUCUGGUACAGCAAAGAUGAGCUGCAAACCAGCCAACCUUUGGUAGCGAUGUGCCCCGAGAAGCUCUGUCUCUGAGGAGCAGGAGGGUGGGCUGUCAUUCCGCUCAGGUUUUCCUGCCUUCCAGAGAAGGACCUAACCACCAUGUGCUCUUGCUUCACAGGUGCCCAGAUGGGGAGCAGGACACCUCUGCCUUGAGGUGAUGGCAAAACCAUCUGGGAUCUUCACCUGGUGAUUGAAAAACGUGUUCCAUAGCACUUCAUCUUUAGAGCCUGUGGGAGUUCUUGGCCACUCAGGAGAGCUCUCCUGCAUGGCUGGGAUCCACCAACCAGUUGCUCAGCUGUCUGUACCUCUGGAAUGAGCAGCAGAGAGCAAAAGCUGUAAACUGGAUUUCUUUCUUGGAUAUGAAAGUGUUUUCUCUGAGGCCCUUUCUGAUGCCCAGGCUGUGCUGAAAAGACUCGAGCAGAGAAACUGAUGCCUCUCAAAAGGAGGUCCCUUACACUUAUUGGCCUGUGGCUAUUUGGGGAAGACAUGAAGAGAGGUUUGGUGCUGGAACCAGCUCCAGUUUGUGGGAUUUGCUGUACAGGUA
rnacentral:lncRNA from 1 species